UACGGAGGGGGCUAGCGUUGUUCGGAAUUACUGGGCGUAAAGCGCACGUAGGCGGCUUUGUAAGUUAGAGGUGAAAGCCCAGGGCUUAACCCUGGAAUUGCCUUUAAGACUGCAUCGCUAGAAUCGUGGAGAGGUGAGUGGAAUUCCGAGUGUAGAGGUGAAAUUCGUAGAUAUUCGGAAGAACACCAGUGGCAAAGGCGACUCACUGGACACGUAUUGACGCUGAGGUGCGAAAGCGUGGGGAGCAAACAGG
rnacentral:rRNA from 1 species